rnacentral:rRNA from 2 species
UACGUAGGGAGCAAGCGUUGUCCGGAAUUACUGGGCGUAAAGGGUGCGUAGGCGGCUAUGCAAGUCAGAUGUGAAAUCCCCGGGCUUAACUCGGGUGGUGCAUUUGAAACUGCGUGGCUUGAGUGCAGGAGAGGAAAGUGGAAUUCCUAGUGUAGCGGUGGAAUGCGUAGAUAUUAGGAGGAACACCAGUGGCGAAGGCGACUUUCUGGACUGUAACUGACGCUGAGGCACGAAAGCGUGGGGAGCAAAC